UGUGCCAGCAGCCGCGGUAAUACGUAGGGUCCAAGCGUUAAUCGGAAUUACUGGGCGUAAAGCGUGCGCAGGCGGUUGUGCAAGACCGAUGUGAAAUCCCCGAGCUUAACUUGGGAAUUGCAUUGGUGACUGCACGGCUAGAGUGUGUCAGAGGGGGGUAGAAUUCCACGUGUAGCAGUGAAAUGCGUAGAGAUGUGGAGGAAUACCGAUGGCGAAGGCAGCCCCCUGGGAUAACACUGACGCUCAUGCACGAAAGCGUGGGGAGCAAACAGGAUUAGAUACCCUGGUAGUCCACGCCCUAAACGAUGUCAACUAGUUGUUGGGGAUUCAUUUCCUUAGUAACGUAGCUAACGCGUGAAGUUGACCGCCUGGGGAGUACGGUCGCAAGAUUAAAACUCAAA
rnacentral:rRNA from 1 species